rnacentral:rRNA from 1 species
UAAUACGGAGGGUGCAAGCGUUAUCCGGAUUUAUUGGGUUUAAAGGGUGCGCAGGCUGGCUUGUCAGUCAGUGGUGAAAUCCCGGGGCUCAACCCCGGAACUGCCAUUGAUACUGCAAGUCUUGAAUACGGUUGAAGUAGGCGGAAUGUAGCAUGUAGCGGUGAAAUGCAUAGAGAUGCUACAGAACACCGAUCGCGAAGGCAGCUUACUAAGCCGAUAUUGACGCUCAGGCACGAAAGCGUGGGGAGCGAACAGGAUUAGAUACCCUGGUAGUCCACGCCGUAAACUAUGAUCACUCGUUGUUGGCAAUACACAGUCAGUGACCAAGCGAAAGCGAUAAGUGAUCCACCUGGGGAGUACGAUCGCAAGGUUG